rnacentral:lncRNA from 1 species
GGAAAAGACUGGAGAUAUUGCUCACUCUCUGUCUCUCUCUCUCUCUCCCUCUCUUCCUCUCUCUCCCCCUUCUCUCUUCUUAUCCCCUUUUCUCCUCCCUUCUUUCUCCCUUCAUGAACCAAGGGAAGACCAUGUAAGGACAUAAUGAGAACGUGACUGCCUGCAAAUCAGGAAAAGGGACCCCACCAGACAUUGAAUCUGCCAGCACCUUGAUCAUAGACUUUCUAGCCUCCAGAGUUGGCACUCUGAUCGCACCACUGUGAAUUCCUGCUCAGAAUCAUGGCAGCUGGAGAUCUUUCAUUUUACUUCAACCUGUUGUCCCAAAAGAAAACACAGUUACUCUUUCAACAAGUUUCAAGAUUUCAGAGGCAGUAACUCCUCAUUGACUGGAAGCUGUUCUUUCUGCUGCACAUCAAGAAGCCGCAAUAUCAAAGGAGAUGUUACAUUUUCCAAGUAGACUCAAAGAUUAUUACUUCUUUCACCCAAACUUCUGGGACUUCUUAAACAGCAACAGUUAUAAUAAAAAGAGGGAAGAUAAGAAGGAAAAAGAGGAAGAGGAAGCAGAGAAGAAGGAAACAGAAGAGCUCAUGUUUAUCAAAGUAUUCCUAUUUUCCAGGGGCUAAUCUGAGUACCUUAUUUAAAUUAAUUUGGUCUUCCAAACAUUAGGAUGAGGGGGUUUCCGCUGCCCGAAUGAGGGGUUUUUAAUUACUUCAGACUGAGGGCACCUGGCCACAACAGCUUCAACAGUAAGUGAGAAGAGGAUUUCUAAAGAGCUGACUCCUGCUCUGCAUUCAGGAAUUGGAACAAAAGAUUAAUUAUGCACACCUGGUGCUGCCCAUUUGCUCACAGACUCCAACAAGUUUCACUGGGUUUAUUAAUGUGGCUGCAUUUCCCACUAUUUCCCUUCAGCUCUUUGUGCAUCCUUAUUUCCCAUGGUCAUAUAUCAGAAUAAACUUUUAUUGGAAGAUCACACUUUUUCCCCUU